GCACUCAGAGCAAGGAAGCGAUAAGAGGAAGCUAGACCACUGUUUGGUGCUGGCUGCCCAGCGGCUGAUGGUCUCAGGAGGAAGGGGCCGAUUCCCUAAGCUGACAUAGCCUGAAGGGCUUCUGCAAAGCCAAAAGAUGACAUAGAGUUUUCCUCAGAUGAGGGAGAAGAGAGUGAGGAAAAGGAGAAUGACUAGCCAAACCCCUAAUUUCCUGUGGUCUCUCAGCUCUAGAUCCAGCAAAAUGCAAUCAGUCAAAAAGUGUGCAGAACUUGAAUCCAGAUAGAGUCCCCUGAAAAUAAAGAAGUA
rnacentral:lncRNA from 1 species